UUAUUACUCCCUCCGUCCCAAAAUUCUUGUCUUAGAUUUUUUCUAGAUACGAAUGUAUCAAGUCACAUUUUAGUAUUAGAUACAUCCGUAUCUAGACAAAUCUAAGACAAGAAAUUUGGGACAGAGGGAGUACUAA
rnacentral:pre_miRNA from 1 species